rnacentral:lncRNA from 7 species
AAAUUCGAAGGAAAAAAUAAAUGGACGGAGCACUCAGCAUGCUGGGGAGCGAGAGACAUCCAUGGAAGGUGCUGAGCUAUCUCAGAGUUUUUGCAAGCUUCCCUGCUUUUUCCCCAUCAGUGUGUUAAAGAGGAAAUCCCCCUUACAAAUCUCCCCUCAGAGGGGCAUGUAAGGGACCAAAACCAUCUUAACCAGAGCCAGCAGCACAGGAUACCCUGUGGUACUGAACUUUGAUUCACGUACCACAAUGAAUGAAAGACGUGAUGGGAAACCUGAGCUGAAGAGAGCAGGAACGUAUGAGCAGUGCAAUUUUGGUCUUCUGGAAGUAUCAUUUCUGGGCACAUUCUGAGAAAUGCAUGUACAUCCAGACCAGGAAAGUGAAAACCUCCAAGUCUUUUCAAAGGUUGUACUGGACUGGAAACAACGGAGAACGGUUAUCUGUGUUUCAGGAGUGAAAUUUUAGGGUAUGUAAAGCUAUUUGACCUGUUCUGAUAUGCUUAAAGAGUUUACAUAUCCUUUGGGUAUAAAGAGAUAUCUUUGACUUCUACACCUAAUUAUGGAAUACAUCAAAAAAAAAGUCAACCAAGAAUGUAUUAUUUCUGGUUCCAUUACAUGAAAUGUAUGAUUGACAAUUGUAAAAUGUAUUUGUAAAGAAACAUGUAAUUGAUUACUGCCUCCAGGCAUGAGGAGAUUUAUGCACUAAAAGUUUCACACAGGUUUUUGCUUGACUAUUGCUGUACCAUUCAUGCAGAACAUAUGUACCUAUAAUGACAGCUUCUAGUGUACAUUCUUCUAAAAUAGUCCUGCUUUCCAAGGGUUAAAUGGUCACUGUUUCCUGAUGUUAAUAUCUUUACAUCUACAAAAUUGCAGUAAUUUAAUUUUAUAUUGUAUAUUUGCAUUUAUAAAUAAUUAUAAAUAAAUAGAAGUAAGUAUAAGUAAUUAUAACAUAACUAUAACAUGUCUAUAAUAAAUAUUAUACAUAAAUAUAUGACUUUAUACAAUAAAUAUAAUAGGUAUGAAUGUAUUAUAAAUACAUUUAAACUAAUAUUU